rnacentral:rRNA from 1 species
GAUGAACGCUAGCGGCAGGCUUAACACAUGCAAGUCGAGGGGUAUUUAUCUUCGGAUAGAGAGACCGGCGCACGGGUGCGUAACGCGUAUGCAAUCUACCUUUUACAGAGGGAUAGCCCAGAGAAAUUUGGAUUAAUACCUCAUAGUAUAUAGACUCGGCAUCGAGAUUAUAUUAAAGUCACAACGGUAAAAGAUGAGCAUGCGUCCCAUUAGCUAGUUGGUAAGGUAACGGCUUACCAAGGCUACGAUGGGUAGGGGUCCUGAGAGGGAGAUCCCCCACACUGGUACUGAGACACGGACCAGACUCCUACGGGAGGCAGCAGUGAGGAAUAUUGAACAAUGGGCGCAAGCCUGAUCCAGCCAUGCCGCGUGCAGGAUGACGGUCCUAUGGAUUGUAAACUGCUUUUAUACGAGAAGAAACACUGCUACGUGUAGCAGCUUGACGGUAUCGUAAGAAUAAGGAUCGGCUAACUCCGUG